rnacentral:rRNA from 1 species
UCCCAAAGUCAUGGUUAAGUGGGAAACGAAGUGGGAAGGCUCAGACAGCCAGGAUGUUGGCUUAGAAGCAGCCAUCAUUUAAAGAAAGCGUAAUAGCUCACUGGUCGAGUCGGCCCGCGCGGAAGAUGUAACGGGGCUAAACCAUGCACCGAAGCUGCGGCAGCGACACAUAGUGUUGUUGGGUAGGGGAGCGUUCUGUAAGCCUGCGAAGGUGUACUGUGAGGUAUGCUGGAGGUAUCAGAAGUGCGAAUGCUGACAUAAGUAACGAUAAUGCGGGUGAAAAACCCGCACGCCGGAAGACCAAGGGUUCCUGUCCAACGUUAAUCGGGGCAGGGUGAGUCGACCCCUAAGGCGAGGCUGAAAAGCGUAGUCGAUGGGAAACGGGUUAAUAUUCCCGUACUGGUGGUAACUGCGAUGGGGGAACGGAGAAGGCUAGGUUGUCCGGGCGACGGUCGUCCCGGUUCAAGCAGGUAGGCAGAGUGAUUAGGCAAAUCCGGUCACUUAAUGCUGAGAUGUGAUGACGAACCACCAAGGUGGUGAAGCAAUUGAUGCCCCGCUUCCAGGAAAAGCCUCUAAGCUUCAGGUUACCAACAAUCGUACCCCAAACCGACACAGGUGGUCAGGUAGAGAAUACUCAGGCGCUUGAGAGAACUCGGGUGAAGGAACUAGG